rnacentral:rRNA from 1 species
UACGUAGGUGGCUAGCGUUGUCCGGAUUUACUGGGCGUAAAGAGCGCGCAGGCGGUCGUUCAAGUCGAGUGUGAAAGCCCCCCGGCUCAACUGGGGAGGGUCACUCGAUACUGAUCGACUCGAAGGCAGGAGAGGGAGGCGGAAUUCCCGGUGUAGUGGUGAAAUGCGUAGAUAUCGGGAGGAACACCAGUGGCGAAGGCGGCUUUCUGGCCUGUUCUUGACGCUGAGGCGCGAAAGCUAGGGUAGCAAACGGG